rnacentral:lncRNA from 1 species
GCUUCUCCUCUCUCUCUGCUUCCUGGCUGCCUUGUGGUUAUUAGAUUUUCUCUUUCAGGUUGCCACCAUGCAAUUUCUGCCUUGAAGAAAGCCAAUCAUGGAUGGAAGCCUCUGAAACCAUGAACUGAACAAAUAGGCUGGUAUCUACUACCAAAGUGAUCCAUUAGUGUAACCACAUGAGCUUGAUCCUGGCUGUCAGAGCAGCCUUUCAUUUUUCAAUGAGAUCAAUCGAUCUGUCUCCAAGACAUGGUGUUAGAGUUGAUCCCAUCAAUUAUGCCUGCCAUGAAGUUUCCAGUUGCUCCAUGAUUGGCCCUAGGAGGCCACAUAGCCCAC